rnacentral:rRNA from 1 species
UUACACAUGCAGUCGAGCGGUAAGGCCCUUCGGGGUACACGAGCGGCGAACGGGUGAGUAACACGUGAGCAACCUGCCCCCGACUCUGGGAUAAGCGGCGGAAACGCCGUCUAAUACCGGAUACGACCCGCCACCUCAUGGUGUGCGAGUGGAAAGUCUUUUCGGUUGGGGAUGGGCUCGCGGCCUAUCAGCUUGUUGGUGGGGUAAAGGCCUACCAAGGCGAUUACGGGUAGCCGGCCUGAGAGGGCGACCGGCCACACUGGGACUGAGACACGGCCCAGACUCCUGCGGGAGGCAGCAGUGGGGAAUAUUGCACAAUGGGCGAAAGCCUGAUGCAGCGACGCCGCGUGGGGGAUGACGGCCUUCGGGUUGUAAACCUCUUUUACCACUAACGCAGGCUCCACGUUCUCGUGGGGUUGACGGUAGGUGGGGAAUAAGGACCGGCUAACUACGUGCCAGCAGCCGCGGUAAUACGUAGGGUCCGAGCGUUGUCCGGAAUUAUUGGGCGUAAAGAGCUCGUAGGCGGCGUGUCGCGUCUGCUGUGAAAGACCGGGGCUUAACUCCGGUUCUGCAGUGGAUACGGGCACGCUAGAGGUAGGUAGGGGAGACUGGAAUUCCUGGUGUAGCGGUGAAAUGCGCAGAUAUCAGGAGGAACACCGGUGGCGAAGGCGGGUCUCUGGGCCUUACCUGACGCUGAGGAGCGAAAGCAUGGGGAGCGAACAGGAUUAGAUACCCUGGUAGUCCAUGCCGUAAACGUUGGGCGCUAGGUG